rfam:Dipodomys ordii contig_20464, whole genome shotgun sequence.
GGGAAAGUGGCUCAGUGGUAGAGUGCUUGCCUUGCAUGCAUGAGGCUCUUGGUUUGAUUCCUAAGCACCA